GACGAACGCUGGCGGCGUGCUUAACACAUGCAAGUCGAACGGAAAGGCCCUGCUUUUGUGGGGUGCUCGAGUGGCGAACGGGUGAGUAACACGUGAGUAACCUGCCCUUGACUUUGGGAUAACUUCAGGAAACUGGGGCUAAUACCGGAUAGGAGCUCCUGCUGCAUGGUGGGGGUUGGAAAGUUUCGGCGGUUGGGGAUGGACUCGCGGGUUAUCAGCUUGUUGGUGGGGUAGUGGCUUACCAAGGCUUUGACGGGUAGCCGGCCUGAGAGGGUGACCGGCCACAUUGGGACUGAGAUACGGCCCAGACUCCUACGGGAGGCAGCAGUGGGGAAUAUUGCACAAUGGGCGGAAGCCUGAUGCAGCAACGCCGCGUGCGGGAUGACGGCCUUCGGGUUGUAAACCGCUUUCGCCUGUGACGAAGCGUGAGUGACGGUAAUUGGUAAAGAAGCACCGGCUAACUACGUG
rnacentral:rRNA from 1 species